rnacentral:rRNA from 1 species
AUUGAACGCUGGCGGCAGGCUUAACACAUGCAAGUCGAGCGGAGAUGAGGUGCUUGCACCUUAUCUUAGCGGCGGACGGGUGAGUAAUGCUUAGGAAUCUGCCUAUUAGUGGGGGACAACAUUCCGAAAGGAAUGCUAAUACCGCAUACGUCCUACGGGAGAAAGCAGGGGAUCCUCGGACCUUGCGCUAAUAGAUGAGCCUAAGUCGGAUUAGCUAGUUGGUGGGGUAAAGGCCUACCAAGGCGACGAUAUGUAGCGGGUCUGAGAGGAUGAUCCGCCACACUGGGACUGAGACACGGCCCAGACUCCUACAGGAGGCAGCAGUGGGGAAUAAUGGACAAUGGGGGGAACCCUGAUCCAGCCAUGCCGCGUGUGUGAAGAAGGCCUUAUGGUUGUAAAGCACUUUAAGCGAGGAGGAGGCUACUGAGACUAAUACUCUUGGAUAGUGGACGUUACUCGCAGAAUAAGCACCGGCUAACUCUGUGCCAGCCGCCGCGGUAAAAC